GUGAAACAUGUUUAGUCGUGUUUUGCAUCGUCACGCAGCAUGUCGUCGUCAAAUCAAGUGAUACCAGCGUAUAUUCGAACCGGUAGAGAACUUAUCGCGUGGCACGCCAAGAUGACAGAGAAACAAGCAAAUGCUCUCAAACAAACAAUGGCACAGUUUCAAUAUUACUCGAAUCUGUUAGAGGAGGUCUCGCCACACCAAGAAACCGAAGAAGAGUCUGAAGAUGAUACUGAGUCGGACUGAUCGACGGAUUAUAAAUCCGAUAAAUAUACGUGAGAAUUAAACUGUUUAUUUUAACUUUCUCAUAAAGAAUUAUCAUUUA